rnacentral:rRNA from 1 species
AUGUACAACAACCCUCCGCCACCACAGGGCAUGUCCUACUACGAGCACGCCCAGAAGCGCCUCCAGGAGAAGGGCUGCCUUUAUGCCUGUCUCGUUCCUGGCCAUACCCAUACCCAUACUUGCACACACACCCAUCAUGGUCAUGGGACCAUGAAGUCAUGGUCCUCAUCGAUAGGGGGUGGAUUCAUUCCAGCCCGUCAAAACUGA